rnacentral:rRNA from 1 species
GACGAACGCUGGCGGCGUGCUUAACACAUGCAAGUCGAACGAAGAGCGAUGGAAGCUUGCUUCUAUCAAUCUUAGUGGCGAACGGGUGAGUAACGCGUAAUCAACCUGCCCUUCAGAGGGGGACAACAGUUGGAAACGACUGCUAAUACCGCAUACGAUCUAACCUCAGCAUCGGGGAUAGAUGAAAGGUGGCCUCUACAUGUAAGCUAUCACUGAAGGAGGGGAUUGCGUCUGAUUAGCUAGUUGGAGGGGUAACGGCCCACCAAGGCGAUGAUCAGUAGCCGGUCUGAGAGGAUGAACGGCCACAUUGGGACUGAGACACGGCCCAGACUCCUACGGGAGGCAGCAGUGGGGAAUCUUCCGCAAUGGACGAAAGUCUGACGGAGCAACGCCGCGUGAGUGAUGACGGCCUUCGGGUUGUAAAGCUCUGUUAAUCGGGACGAAAGGCCUUCUUGCGAAUAGUUAGAAGG